UUUCGCAAUGCCCGAAAGGGUGACGAAACGACGCCGCGUGCGGGAAGAAGGCCUUCGGGUUGUAAACCGCUGUCGGGAGUUAAGAAAUGUAAGGAUGUUAAUAGCAUCUUUGCUUGACUAAGGCUCCGGAGGAAGCCACGGCUAACUCUGUGCCAGCAGCCGCGGUAAUACAGAGGCGGCAAGCGUUGUUCGGAAUUAUUGGGCGUAAAGAGCACGUAGGCGGCUGUGUAAGUCGGUUGUGAAAGCCUUCUGCUCAACGGGAGAACGGCAUCCGAUACUGCAUAGCUUGAGUGCGGGAGGGGAGAGUGGAACUUCUGGUGGAGCGGUGAAAUGCGUAGAUAUCAGAAGGAACACCGGCGGCGAAGGCGACUCUCUGGCCCGUAACUGACGCUGAGUGUGCGAAAGCUAGGGGAGCAAACGGGAUUAGAUACCCCGGUAGUCCUAGCCGUAAACGAUGGGCACUAAGUAGAGGGGUUUUA
rnacentral:rRNA from 1 species